GUUAUCAACAUAGUAGAAACAGAUUAGAUCUUUUACACACUUGGAAUAGUACUCUUGUAAGGUGUUGGAGACUCCCUUCUAUUUAUACUCUUCUGUUUUACUUCCCCAACAUUGAGGAUAAUCAUCAUUCUUUCGACUUGAGAUGUACUUGCUACUGCUCUGCAGCACCGGUUUGCUGUUAUCUUGCUACACUUGGACUUUAGUAAUAAGUUAACAAACCAUAACAUUUACGCUUAAUAGACAGAUAGUGGGUUAUGUGGGCAAUGGGUUACAGGCUUUGAAAUAUGAGUUUUCUUAUAGGGCACUAGUGCCAUGCGUAGCGUAACACAAAACAAACUUGUCUGCUCCCUAGAGUAAGACACAUUGCUCCAUUUUAGUCAUUUUUACAUUAAGCCUAUCUAAUAUCUUUGUUUUGAGGAUCGUACGAUUGGUUAUGUGCUCUAAAACAUGUAGAUAAACUCCAUAUGCACUAUAAAAGAAAGAUCAAAUGAUAGAGCUUCUAGUUGCUCUUGAGCAUCGCCUAACUGUAUUUGAUUUCAAUGCCUGCAGAUUUGAGUACAAUGCAGCUGCAGAAGUAGUGAAGGAAGUCCAGUUUGAGGAAGUAGAAGGUGGUGUUAAAACAAGAAUUGUUCAGAGAUGAAUUGCCCAUACAACGUCGAUAUCUGGUACUUGUAGGAAGUAUGUUUGGUGUAGCAGAGUCGUAAGUUGCGAUCACAGAGUCACGAUCAAUUGGCCUUACCGAAUUGUUUCAUGUAUCUUGUUUGAUUUUGAGCAAAAUGUUUCCUCUGCUUACUGACAAGCAAGAGAUGCAGAACUUACUGUGGGUAUAUAUAUAUAUAGUAGAUCAACAUGUAAAAUUAGGAUGCUUAUUAUUUGUUGUAUCUAAAGUAAUUUGAUCGACUAUUGAAUUCC